GAUGAACGCUAGCUACAGGCUUAACACAUGCAAGUCGAGGGACCGGCACACGGGUGAGUAACACGUAUCCAACCUGCCCUUUACUCGGGGCUAGCCUUUCGAAAGAAAGAUUAAUACCCGAUGUCAAGGAUGGUGAUGCGUUCAAUUAGGUGGUUGGUGAGGGAAAGGCUGACCAAGCCUUCGAUGGAUAGGGGUUCUGAGAGGAGGGUCCCCUGCAUUGGAACUGAGACACGGUCUAAACUGCUACUGAAGGCAGGAGUGAUGAAGAUUGGUCAAUGAGCGUUAGCCUGAACCUGCCAAGUAGCGGAAAGGAUGAAGCGUUAGGGGUCGUAUUCUUCUGAUAUAGAAGAAUAGGUAUUAUAUGAAUAAGCAUCGGCUAACUCCGUGCCAGCCGCCGCGGUAAUAC
rnacentral:rRNA from 1 species